UCCUGGCGUGUCCUCCUCUUCCUCUCUCCUGGCUUGUUCUCCUCUUCCUCUCUCCGGGCGUGUCCUCCUCUUCCUCUCUCCUGGCGUGUCCUCCCCAACCUACCACUAGAGAGAAAGAAAAUAAGCUUAAAGAAAAGAGAAACUGAGCAGUGACACCGGGUUGACACCAUGUUGACACCGGGUUGACACCAUGUUGACACCGGGUUGACACCAUGUUGACACCGGGUUGACACUGUGUUGACACCAUGUUGACACCGGGUUGACACCGGGUUGACACCAUGUUGACACCGGGUUGACACCAUGUUGACACCGGGUUGACACCGUGUUGACACCGGGUUGACACCAUGUUGACACCGGGUUGACACCGUGUUGACACCGUGUUGACACCAUGUUGACACCGGGUUGACACCGUGUUGACAUACGGCCACAAUUCGUCUUAAGUGCAUCUGCUUGCUGUGGUUACUGUGAACUGGCUGCGGCUUUCUGAAGCCGUCAAAGUGUUUUAUGGCCCCGUCUAUCUGUCUGUCUGUGCCGCCCUCCCUCCUACACUACAAGUCGCACCAAACCCCCCGACUGAGGGCGAUGACAAACUCUCUCGUCUAGUCUCUCUCUUUUUCUGUAUCACGCUUUCAUUCUCUCUCUCUCUCUCUCUCUCUCUCUCUCUCUCUCUCUCUCUCUCUCCCCUCUCUCUCUCUCUCUCUCUCUUUCUCUCUCUCUCUCUCUCUCCGUGGUAUAUAGAGACAGAGGGGCCCUUGUUGUUCUAACUUGUCUGGCUUGGCCUCAUUCUGGGAGUCCUGUCUGGCUUGGCCUCAGCCUGGGAGUCCUGUCUGGCUUGGCCUCAGCCUGAGAGUCCUGUCUGGCUUGGCCUCAGCCUGAGAGUCCUGUGCUUCUUAUUAUUUAUGAACUGAGACGUUGUGAGUGGCACUGUCACUAAAGGAAGGUACCUCCAUGAAAAUAAGUUUUACACCUUACAAAGUACUUUACUACCAACCCAUCCACACUAUACCACACCAAGACGAACGAGGAGGAAGACCAUCCACACUAUACCACACCAAGACGAACGAGGAGGAAGACCAUCCACACUAUACCACACCAAGACGAACGAGGAGGAAGACCAUCCACACUAUACCACACCAAGACGAACGAGGAGGAAGACCAUCCACACUAUACCACACCAAGACGAACGAGGAGGAAGACCAUCCACACUAUACCACACCAAGACGAACGAGGAGGAAGACCAUCCACACUAUACCACACCAAGACGAACGAGGAGGAAGACCAUCCACACUAUACCACACCAAGACGAACAAGGAGGAAGACCAUCCACACUAUACCACACCAAGACGAAGGAGGAGGAAGACCAUCCACACUAUACCACACCAAGACGAAGGAGGAGGAAGACCAUCCACACUAUAUCACACCAAGACGAAGGAGGAGGAAGACCAUCCACACUAUACCACACCAAGACGAACGAGGAGGAAGACCAUCCACACUAUACCACACCAAGACGAACGAGGAGGAAGACCAUCCACACUAUACCACACCAAGACGAACAAGGAGGAAGACCAUCCACACUAUACCACACCAAGACGAAGGAGGAGGAAGACCAUCCACACUAUACCAUACCAAGACGAAGGAAGAGGAAGACAAACGAUGAUGUACAUAGAAGAACUAAAAUAAACAAAACUAAAAAGGGAUUUUCUAAUCAUUUAAAAAAUAAUUAAGACACUUAAUGUACCAAUGAUUCCCGAGACAAUCGUGUACAGAGGAAGUCUUUUUAAUGUGUGCAACAUGGCAGUGACUGGACGAUCCCUUCCCAUAUAAUAAUCGUUUAAUGCUGUCGGUACAAAGGUGAUGAUGUUUUCAUUGAAGUCAAAAGGCUGAUCGAGCACAGCAACGAUGACGGUGACGAUGUGUUGACGUUGUUCUUGAACCAAUAAAACUAACAAACAAACGUGUAGAUGAAAAUGAGAUUUUGUGAUAUAACUUGUUUUUGUUCAAGACCAAAAGCAUGGAUGUCAAGUGUCAAUGAUCAUUGUGUUCAGUCAGUGAUGUUUCUUCCUCGUACUAUCUCUCUCUCUCUCUCUCUCUCUCUCUCUCUCUGUCUCUCUCUCUCUCUCUCUCUCUGUCUCUCUCUCUCUCUCUCUCUCUCUCUCUCUCUAUUUACACUCAGUAUAGUAUGAAAUAGUGUGAUUUCAGUCACAUUUCAACUCAACACAGCGGUUUCCCUCUGAAUCAAGGCCUGGGAUUCAAUCUGCAGCCGUGCGAUUGUUCGAAUUCGAUCUCACGAAUGAGGUAGCAUUGGCUUUAAAAAGCCGCAUUGUCUACAAGCGCGAUCAGAUUUAAUCCCGGUCCAACACCGUGUGGAUCCAUGUUUCAUUGGGGUAUUUUUAUUUUAUUUUUAUUUUUUUAAUGUUCACUUACUUGGAAAAGUUGUUCAGAACUUGUUGUGUGGGCAUUUCACUAGCUUGCAGCACAAACCAACCGUGUGUAUUUUAAAGCUAACGUAAUUGACACGAUAAUACCAUUGCAUCUUGGGAUAGAGAUGUCUGAUCUGGACUGAGUUGGUAGGUUUUUAUUUUAUUUUAAAUGUCACCCCUCGGUCAGUUCCCAGACGCCGAGCCAUAUAGAGUACCAUUUUAAUGAAUUUAGGAAAAGUUCAGCUUUCAGGAAUGAAAAAGAAAAAAAAACAAGCUUUUAAAUAGGUUUUAUUAUAUUUUCUACAAGCGCUAUAACGAAAACUAUUGUACAGCGUAAAUUUUUGUAUGAAGUAGUGUUUUUAUUUAGAAUUUUGAAAAAAUUAUUUUGUUCUUCUUGUGUCCCACCUUUUGAAUUUCUGUAGUUGAAAAUGAAUUUCAUAUGAUGCCCUUUUUUUCUGAUAGUGCUUGUUAUGAUAGGACUGUAUGAUAGGACUGUAUGAUAGGACUGUAUGAUAGGACUGUAUGAUAGGACUGUAUGAUAGGACUGUAUGGUAGGACUGUAUGAUAGGACUGUAUGGUAGGACUGUAUGAUAGGACUGUAUGGUAGGACUGUAUGAUAGGACUGUAUGAUAGGACUGUAUGAUAGCUGUACUGGGCUCUUGUUAUGAUAGGACUGUGGACUGAAGUGGUGGGAUAGAUAGGUGAUAACCGAACUGAGCUCUUGUUAUGAUAGGACUGAAGUGGUGGGAUAGAUAGGUGAUAACCGUACUGAGCUCUUGUUAUGAUAGGACUGUGGACUGAAGUGGUGGGAUAGAUAGGUGAUAACCGUACUGAGCUCUUGUUAUGAUAGGACUGUGGACUGAAGUGGUGGGAUAGAUAGGUGAUAACCGUACUGAGCUCUUGUUAUGAUAGGACUGUGGACUGAAGUGGUGGGAUAGAUAGGUGAUAACUGUACUAAGGUCUUGUUAUGAUAGGACUGUGGACUGAAGUGGUGGGGUAGAUAGGUGAUAACCGUACUGGGCUCUUGUUAUGAUAGGACUGAAGUGGUGGGAUAGAUACUGUAGGUGAUAACUGUACUGGGCUCUUGUUAUGAUAGGACUGAAGUGGUGGGAUAGAUAGGGGAUAACCGUACUGAGCUCUUGUUAUGAUAGGACUGUGGACUGAAGUGUGGGAUAGAUGGGUGAUAACUGUACCGAGGUCUUGUUAUGAUAGGACUGAAGUGGUGGGAUAGAUAGGGGAUAACUGAUAGGACUGUGGACUGAAGUGGUGGGAUAGAUAGGGGAUAACUGAUAGGACUGUGGACUGAAGUGGUGGGAUAGAUAGGGGAUAACUGAUAGGACUGUGGACUGAAGUGGUGGGAUAGAUAGGGGAUAACUGAUAGGACUGUGGACUGAAGUGGUGGGAUAGAUAGGUGAUAACUGAUAGGACUGUGGACUGAAGUGGUGGGAUAGAUAGGGGAUAACUGAUAGGACUGUGGACUGAAGUGGUGGGAUAGAUAGGGGAUAACUGAUAGGACUGUGGACUGAAGUGGUGGGAUAGAUAGGGGAUAACUGAUAGGACUGUGGACUGAAGUGGUGGGAUAGAUAGGUGAUAACUGAUAGGACUGUGGACUGAAGUGGUGGGAUAGAUAGGGGAUAACUGAUAGGACUGUGGACUGAAGUGGUGGGAUAGAUAGGGGAUAACUGAUAGGACUGUGGACUGAAGUGGUGGGAUAGAUAGGGGAUAACUGAUAGGACUGUGGACUGAAGUGGUGGGAUAGAUAGGGGAUAACUGUACCGAGGUCUUGUUAUGAUAGGACUGAAGUGGUGGGAUAGAUAAGGGAUAACUGAUAGGACUGUGGACUGAAGUGGUGGGAUAGAUGGGUGAUAACUGUACCGAGGUCUUGUUAUGAUAGGACUGAAGUGGUGGGAUAGAUAGGGGAUAACUGAUAGGACUGUGGACUGAAGUCGUGGGAUAGAUAGGUGAUAACUGAUAGGACUGUGGACUGAAGUGGUGGGAUAGAUAGGUGAUAACCGAACUGAGAGACACAAGAAGAAGAAAAAGCCACUACUUCCCUCGAAGACAAAGGGGUUAUUAAGAACAGA